CGUACACAAAAAUGCACAUGCUGUGAGCUCGAUGAGUAGGGCGGGACACGUGGUAUCCUGUCUGAAUAUGGGGGGACCAUCCUCCAAGGCUAAAUACUCCUGACUGACCGAUAGUGAACCAGUACCGUGAGGGAAAGGCGAAAAGAACCCCGGCGAGGGGAGUGAAAAAGAACCUGAAACCGUGUACGUACAAGCAGUGGGAGCACGCUUAGGCGUGUGACUGCGUACCUUUUGUAUAAUGGGUCAGCGACUUAUAUUCUGUAGCAAGGUUAACCGAAUAGGGGAGCCGAAGGGAAACCGAGUCUUAACUGGGCGUUAAGUUGCAGGGUAUAGACCCGAAACCCGGUGAUCUAGCCAUGGGCAGGUUGAAGGUUGGGUAACACUAACUGGAGGACCGAACCGACUAAUGUUGAAAAAUUAGCGGAUGACUUGUGGCUGGGGGUGAAAGGCCAAUCAAACCGGGAGAUAGCUGGUUCUCCCCGAAAGCUAUUUAGGUAGCGCCUCGUGAACUCAUCUCCGGGGGUAGAGCACUGUUUCGGCAAGGGGGUCAUCCCGACUUACCAACCCGAUGCAAACUGCGAAUACCGGAGAAUGUUAUCACGGGAGACACACGGCGGGUGCUAACGUCCGUCGUGAAGAGGGAAACAACCCAGACCGCCAGCUAAGGUCCCAAAGUCAUGGUUAAGUGGGAAACGAUGUGGGAAGGCCCAGACAGCCAGGAUGUUGGCUUAGAAGCAGCCAUCAUUUAAAGAAAGCGUAAUAGCUCACUGGUCGAGUCGGCCUGCGCGGAAGAUGUAACGGGGCUAAACCAUGCACCGAAGCUGCGGCAGCGACGCUUAUGCGUUGUUGGGUAGGGGAGCGUUCUGUAAGCCUG
rnacentral:rRNA from 1 species